ACGGGAGGCAGCAGUGGGGAAUAUUGCACAAUGGGGGAAACCCUGAUGCAGCGACGCCGCGUGAGUGAAGAAGUAUUUCGGUAUGUAAAGCUCUAUCAGCAGGGAAGAUAAUGACGGUACCUGACUAAGAAGCACCGGCUAAAUACGUGCCAGCAGCCGCGGUAAUACGUAUGGUGCAAGCGUUAUCCGGAUUUACUGGGUGUAAAGGGAGCGUAGACGGUAUGGCAAGUCUGAAGUGAAAGCUCGGGGCUCAACCCCGGAACUGCUUUGGAAACUGUCGCACUAGAGUGCAGGAGAGGUAAGUGGAAUUCCUAGUGUAGCGGUGAAAUGCGUAGAUAUUAGGAGGAACACCAGUGGCGAAGGCGGCUUACUGGACUGUAACUGACGUUGAGGCUCGAAAGCGUGGGGAGCAAACAGGAUUAGAUACCCUGGUA
rnacentral:rRNA from 2 species